rnacentral:lncRNA from 1 species
UAAAGCGAUCAUUAUUUACUGGACUGUCUAGCUCAUUACCUCUUUAUUUUAUUUUUCAGAUUUAGAUUGUAAAUUACGAACAUGGAUGCUAUUUUGGAAGUGAGCUAGAAGCAAGUAACAACAGCAUAGAUUUAUUGUUAUAUUUUUAUAAGAUUGUUAUUUGAAGUAUAAUUGAUGUAAGAUCUAUUAAAUAUUAUUGAAUUUAUUGAAAUAUUCAAGUUAAAAUUUAGAUU